rnacentral:lncRNA from 1 species
GUGGACGAUCUCGGGCAAAAUGCACCCGUCGACCAAUCUUUUUAUUAAAUCUCUGUUGUUGAAGGGAUUCUCCCUCGGAUCCUCUUCGGAGCCGUUGGACCCUUCAAUGGCAGCCCUGCUGCUGCUGAUCUUGCGAGCCACCAUCUUCUUCCUUCUCUUCCUUUCGACCCCCGGUGCCUCCUCAGGAUGAGACUCUGAAGCGGGAACCUCGAUCGGAGGGCUUCUUGAAGAAGCUCGGGGGACUGUGGGCUCGACGUCGAAGGGGGCAUCAACGAUAAUGGCCGCCUAGGCAAGCACGGCCGAGCUUGUCUCCUCUACCC